GCAGUGGUGGUUCAGUGGUAGAAUUCUUGCCUUCCACAUGGGAGACCCAGGUUCGAUUCCUGGCCAGCGUU
rnacentral:tRNA from 1 species